rnacentral:rRNA from 1 species
GUAGGGAAUCUUGCGGCAAUGGACGAAAGUCUGACCGAGCAACGCCGCGUUGAGUGAAGAAGGUUUUCGGAUCGUAAAACUCUGUUGGUAGAGAAGAACGUUGGUGAGAGUGGAAAGCUCAUCAAGUGACGGUAACUACCCAGAAAGGGACGGCUAACUACGUGCCAGCAGCCGCGGUAAUACGUAGGUCCCGAGCGUUGUCCGGAUUUAUUGGGCGUAAAGCGAGCGCAGGNGGUUUAUUAAGUCUGGUGUAAAAGGCAGUGGCUCAACCAUUGUAUGCAUUGGAAACUGGUAGACUUGAGUGCAGGAGAGGAGAGUGGAAUUCCAUGUGUAGCGGUGAAAUGCGUAGAUAUAUGGAGGAACACCGGUGGCGAAAGCGGCUCUC